UGUGGAUGAUCAGCCAUGAUCACAUUGAAUGGUGGUGCUGGCUCGAAGGGCCGAAUAGCAUAAUCCUGCACAUAUUAUCUAUUUACCUGAGCUAGAAGGAA